UUACUGUGGUAUCUUUGCUGAAGAUAUUUUCUCGUCAGUGCUUGUCAAAUUUUGAUUCAUAAAAGCUGAUUUUUCUUAGAAACCUGCCUUCUUUCACAGCACCAUCUGCUGGUGCUUCCUGGGUCCCGUGGCUGCUGCUGGAGAGCUGCAUUCCUCUGCAUUCUCCAGAGGAGUGGAAGGGCCUGGCGAUGUUCACUGCAGCUCGGUUGUGUUGUGAACCAUAACAACAUUUCUGUAGCUAAACUUCUGUUCAGUAUCCAUUCGUCCUGCCAGAGUCUGCUUUCUGAAGCUUUUCCUUCCUUUUCCAAGAGAAUUCGAACUUGAGAUGCAGUGAAGCAACUCUCAAAUUGCAGUCAUCCAGAAGUAACUGGGUAAUGCAUCCAGAGCUGCCUGAAAUGGACUCUGAAGGGAGUUUGAUGAGUUGAAGCAGCAAUGCAUACAAGAAAUAGCUCACAUCCUUGACAUCCUGGUUCCUUUGUACAAAGGGAUGCAGAGAAUUCAGGGGUGACCCUAUCUCCCCAUACGAUCAGCAUGCACACAGAGAUGUCACCAGAGAUGUAGUCUCAUCAUGAGAACAGGACACCAGAAAUAAGGUGAGCUGCUUAAAUUCAAGAAGGCUUCAACUCUUCUGAAACUCCCACUGCUGUAUGAUCCAGAGUGGAAUGCCUUCAUGUAAGAUGCUCCAUUCAUUUCGUCCUAAAACCAAGAAAUUAGAGACUCUGAGGAGCUGCAUUACCAGCACGCCUUUGAGAAUUUGAGGAUGUGUCAUUGCUAACCAUUUUGGACCAGCUGGUCACAGCAUUAUGAACUGUUGCUAGAAAAAUAUUAUGUUUUCAUAUUACAAGGGUGUAAUUUGCUGUGUCAUCGCUGCGUACUAAAAUCUAAAAGGCAGAAUGUGAUUCAGAGGGUGCAUGGAACACAAACCACCUCCUCAGAAGGCAAAAAUCUCUGCUGAAGAGCAGCAAUGCUCCCAAGUAUGACUGAUAAACGUGAGUUUUGUCGUGAGCUAAAUGGCAAAAUAUGGACCCUGCACCAAGGCUUUGCUCAGCAUGGUGCAUAAUUCCCUGAUUUGUCUGCUAGCAGGCUGGUUUAUGGUAAUGAAAUCAUGGCAGUGGGAAGAAAGAAAAAGUCUUGCAAAAUUUCUGAGUUAUUCUCUCCAGAUGGCUUGGAAGGAAGGUCUGGUGUCAUCGUGAUAUUUGCCUAAUAACUCUGAAAUGAUCAGUUGAGGUGGAUGAGUGUACUCUCAAAUUAGUACAUGUGUGGAAAUAUGCUCCUCCCCAACCUUUCCACCCAGACAGGUUGGUUAUGUGUGACAAUCACAUUAUGAGCCAGGAACUCAAGCUUAGUGCUACCUUAUGAAGUAGACUAGGGGAAAACUGGCUGAGUAAGAAGAAUGUUAUACUGCAAAAUGGGAGGGAAGGUGUCCUGAAUACUCUUCCUCCUCUCUGCUCCAGCCCACAGCAAGAGCUGGGCACAAGUCCUGCUCUGAGGGGCAUCUCACUUGUAUCUGUUAUGAUUUUAAAACAUAAGGCAUUGAGAUCUCUUUUUAAAUUCAGUGCCCUGACAGAGUAAGGUACUGGUCAAGGUGACUAUGGAUGGUAGUACUGACCCACAAGCAAUUUUUCCCUGCCAUGACCUAGGGACAUGUCAAGGGUUGCCCUUCCCUCUUUUUUUCUCAGGGAGCGCAAGUUAAAAAUCAGGAUAAUUGCACAGCAAAAAUGCUUUCCAUCUCACUCCUUUAUUUACUUUUUUUUCAUGAUUUCCUUCCACUCCCAGAUGAAGGAAUGUAGGCUGUUUGAAGAGCUGAUCUGCUCGGGUGGGGCAUUAACUUAAUUUGAAGCAUUGCUGAAUAUUUAGUCAUGUUCUGUAGGAGUAUUAGAAUCAGAAAAUUCUUGGAUUCCUAACAAACUCUGCACGUGUACACGAUCUCCAGAAAGAGAACAAGUGUUUAAAAACAAGGCUCUGUACACAAUUCUGAAGUAAUUUAAAUAUAAGAUAUAUAUAUAUAUAUAUAAUUUAAGUUAAAAACAUCUUGCAGUACUACAUUACUGACAGCUGAAAGUCAGACACCAACUGUGAUGGCAUAGAUCUGUAAAGUGCUUUAGGGAAAAAUUACUAACUGGUAUAAAUCUGAUUUUAAAAUAAAGAUAGCAGAAAGAGAAGUUUGAGUUAAUUUAAGUAGGAACAUGCCAUUUACAAACAGAAGUCUCUUCCCAUGGUCAAACUGGUCCACCAAUGGUGGUUUAGCAAGGUAGCUCUCUUCUUUUUAAAUCCAUUAGCUUGUGCUGUGGGAUGUGGCACCUUGCUUUUGUGACUUGCAUCUUCUAAUUGGGACAUUUCCAAAGUCUGCUAAUGGCUGUAAAUGGGUCAGAACCAAGUUUCUCUUCUCUCAACGAUUUUAUGUUUUCAAAAAUUUUCUCAUUUUGGACAAGGAUGAACAUGAGUGCUUAAAUGAGUAUUUAAUGCAGGGCUUACAGAAGUGUUUUCAGUAUGGAAUCACUUUGUCCCCCAUUUUCUCAGAGUAAUAGAUAUACACCUUCUUUUUAGAAAAGCAUGACUGCCUGUUUAGGUGAUGACUUUAUAGAUAGGCCUGUUUCUGAUCCUCCAGACUCAGACUAGAGAUGGAAGUCAUGCAAAGCAUACUGGAGUGGUGUGAAAUCAGAACUGAACGUAGCAUUUUCAAACCAGGCCGACUCAGAGUUCACAAACACUGGCUUCUGGCUCUUUCAGUACCAGACUUCAGAGGAAAGUAGAAAUUGUUUGUAAAGCAUAAAUACUGUAUAGUGAAUACACCUGCACUGUGUGAAAAAUGAGCUCAAAGCUGAUAACAGAUCUGAAAUCAGCCUAUUUAUCCAACUUCCAUGGAUAGUUUUCCAGCUGCAGCUCCAGAGCCACAGUUGAUAUAUAGUCAUCUUAAUAUAUCCUGGAGAGGCAGAACGAAGCAAUUAGCUGCCUAAGCUCUAUCAGAUAUACUCGCCCCUAUGUGUCCACAAAACUGCUGCUGUGAAAGUCUAAACACAAACCUGGGAGUGACUCCAUGCCUUAUUGUUGUGUUCACAAUCAAAGUGAGGCAAAGGCAGCUGCUGUGUGAAAAAACUUCCCCUGUCUUCCACUGUCAAAGGCAAAUUGGCUGUCAGGUCUUAAUGGUCAUUAGCCAACCCCUCGGCAUUCCCAGUGGCUGAGAGCAGCUCCCCCACAAAGCCACACAAGCAUCACUCUCACACACCACGUUGACUUCAGCACUGAGGUGCAUCUCAUGCCCUGACUUAUCUUUGUACAUGCUGCCUAUGAAUAAUUCAGGACAUCUCCAGACAAGUUUGCUGUUUCGGUCCAAGUGAAUAAGCAGCAGUAACAAAUUCGAUGCACAAGUGUAGCAACAGACUGCAUAGCUAGUGCAAAGCAAGGAAGGUUUCCAUGGACACAAUUCUGCUCUGUUAGGAGGCUUUAAGAGAGAAAUGCAGCAUGAGUGGAGCAGGUUAAGGACAUAAGAGAAGAUGGACUGCUCCAGAGAGCAGCACCAGUCGUGUUUGCCUGGCCAGUGGGGCAGGAGUGUGUGAUGAGUGAGUGGAGGCAGCUGGCAGGAUAAAGGCUGUGCAAUGUGCCCAUCCCUGCAGUCCGGGGCUGCUCUGAGUUUUGCCAGCGUGCUGUGCCAAUUAACCACUACUGGUGUGACAAUGGGCUGCACUCCUGGCACUGCAGCUGUGCCACAUGCUCAGAGCUCAGGUGCCAAGUCACACCAUGCAGGACAUGGUCACACACAGAUAGACCUGUCCGCAUGAAUCUUUUGGGAGUGUAGACACUUCGUUACAAUAUUGCAUUGUUUUUGGGUACACAGUUUCCUGAUUUUAACUUUUUUUGCCAGAAAUUGUACCAACCAGCUCAGAGGCUUAUGUUAGAAACAUGCAGAAUUCUUGUGACAAUGUGUUUGGCAAGAAUAACACUCAGCAGAUUUCAAGGACAUUUUGACAGGAAACUUUAAGAGACAUUUUCUGUGCUAUAACGAGAAAGAAUAUCCUCCUAUUAACAUGUAUCUAGAUUUUCUCCUUGAUUGUUUGCUUAAUGAUCCCAGCCUUGUUAGCUGCUACCAGGGAAGAUCCAGCAGCUAGAACUGUGAGAUGAAGAAGAUGAAGAAUCAUGGAUUUCUAAAUUAGAAAAGUUCAAAGGUAGAAAUGGGUAAUAAGGAAAUGAAAAGAAAAAUCUUUGUGAUCAUCAUCCAGACUCUAGGGGGAAAUGAAAAAAUCUGCUAUGGAUAGGAGGUACUCUCCAUUCAGCCCUUCAGGUCAAAGGGUUUUCUGAAGUUUCUUUCUUUGAAGAGAGAAAGUAAAAUGAGCAUGGGUUUAGGAAUAAGGGGGAAAGCCCUACAUGUGGAAUACAAAUGGGAAGAGCUGGAAAUGUGGUAUUUGGGUCCCUGUUGGCCUUAAUCAGUGUGGAGAAGAAUGCAGUUCUUUGGGGAGAAUGACUUUACCCUGCCAAAACUUGUCACACCUAAAUUGCUUGAUUGUUUUUGUUAAGCUUCUCUCUUGAACUAUUUGAGUAGCUGAAAGCUGGGCCAGCUUUAGAGGUGGAUUUGGGAAUUUGUUGGGGUUCAGGCUUUGGACCUGUAAAAUCUUUUAUUCUCGUGUGUUUCAGCACAUCUUGUCUCUCCAUUCCAAUGUUUCCUUCAAGUUCUCUGAGCAGGGAUUGUCUCUUACUGUAUUAACACGUCCUCCAUCUGGUAUGAGGGGUCCUACUCUGGGGCAGGGGUGCCUUUCCUGCACAGAGCAUAUCUAACUUUUUAUUUCACAACCAGCUUCUAAAGGUCUUGGUUAUCUUUUAUCUGUUAUUUAGGUAAAGAAUCUACAGCAAACAAUCCUAUAAGUCUUUCCAGCUAUCCGCCAAACUAAUUGAAAAAAGUCUCAUUAAUUUCUUUUGGGCAAUUACUACGCAGUGAAUAAUGUAGUACGUCACUCCAAGCUCCUGUGUAAUGUUUCCUUGCUUUAUGGAUUGUUUCCUAGCAUGCCUGCAGCAGAGCUGUUUAUGUUGUUUUCACUUUGUAAUUUUGUGCAUGAAGAACUACAAUAAACAUAAUUAAAACCAAAUUUCCCUAUCUCUCCUCCUAUAUUUCUUCUCGUGACUCUCCUCUUUUCCUAAUCUUCUUCAUUCUCCUGCUUCCGUCCUCUCAAAUUUAUUCUUCUUUCUUUACUCUUUCUACUUUUCCUUCUGCUUCCCCUCCAUUACCAGUUCUUUUCUGCUCUUUCUUUGUAUUCCAUGUGUUUUCAGAGCCCUCAACGGGCCUACACUUAGCAUAAGCUGGGGUUUCCAAAGAUGACAAGUCUGUGGGUAGAUGCCAAUAUGAUUUGAAGCUGAAACACAAUCACGAAAAAGAUCUACAAACUCUUGCAAAACUGGCUUGUAUAGACUCAUACCUGUGAAUGACUUAUGAGCAGACUGUCUACAAUGCUUGUAUUUUCCAUUUAAGGUGAUCAAAUGUCAUCUUUCCACCAUUCAUCCAGCUGCCUGACUUUGUAUCGAUCAGUAAUUUUCUUUUUAAGGAGAUUUUUGCUACAAUAUUGAGAGCACAGCUGGGUUUUAUUCCCUAAAAUGUCCCUUCUGCAUCUGGGUUUGUGAAUGCAGUCCCUAUUUUAGGGGUCAAGAUUUUAGGGCUCUCCAUGCUUUGUUUCUGCAUGACCACGGGUUGAGCAGCUCAUCCUUGAUCUUCUUUCCCAUCUGCAAGAUGGAGAUAUUGACUUCUUUGUAAAUUACUUGGAGUUCUACAGAUGACAAAAGCCUUUACUGUAAAAAAUG